UCCCUUGUGUUAAGGUGCAUCUAGUGCAGUUAGUGAAGUAGCUUAGAAUCUACUGCCCUAAAUGCUCCUUCUGGCACAAGCU
rnacentral:pre_miRNA from 1 species